UUUCUCAAAGCAGAGUGCUGUUUUGGGGAAAAUAGUUAUGUAAUUAGGCAGCGGCCAGACAACCGUAGGGAUGGAAUCCACAGAUGGCGGAUUUUUGAUACCGCUUUGUCUACUAAAUCCCAUCUCACAUUU
rnacentral:snoRNA from 1 species